rnacentral:rRNA from 1 species
UACAGAGGUCCCAAGCGUUGUUCGGAUUCACUGGGCGUAAAGGGUGCGUAGGUGGUCGGGUAAGUCUGAUGUGAAAUCUCCGAGCUUAACUCGGAAACUGCAUCGGAUACUAUUCGGCUCGAGGGUUGGAGGGGGGACUGGAAUGCUUGGUGUAGCAGUGAAAUGCGUAGAUAUCGCUUGGAACGCCAAAGGUGAAGACAGGCGACUGGAGAUGUGCCGACGCUGAGACGCGAAAGCCAGGGGAGCGAACGGG